rnacentral:rRNA from 1 species
GAAACCUUACCUGGUCUUGACAUAGUAAGAACUUUCCAGAGAUGGAUUGGUGCCUUCGGGAACUUACAUACAGGUGCUGCAUGGCUGUCGUCAGCUUGUGUCGUGAGAUGUUGGGUUAAGUCCCGCAACGAGCGCAACCCUUUUCCUUAUUUGCCAGCGGGUUAAGCCGGGAACUUUAAGGAUACUGCCAGUGACAAACUGGAGGAAGGCGGGGACGACGUCAAGUCAUCAUGGCCCUUACGACCAGGGCUACACACGUGCUACAAUGGUCGGUACAAAGGGUUGCUACCUAGCGAUAGGAUGCUAAUCUCAAAAAGCCGAUCGUAGUCCGGAUUGGAGUCUGCAACUCGACUCCAUGAAGUCGGAAUCGCUAGUAAUCGCGGAUCAGAAUGCCGCGGUGAAUACGUUCCCGGGCCUUGUACACACCGCCCGUCACACCAUGGGAGUUUGUUGCACCAGAAGUAGGUAGUCUAACCGCAAGGAGGACGCUUACCACGGUGUGGCCGAUGACUGGGGUGAAGUCGUAACAAGGUAAGCGUAGAUGA